rnacentral:rRNA from 1 species
AUUGGCGUAUAUUAAAGUUGUUGCGGUUAAAAAGCUCGUAGUUGGAUCUGUGUAUCGGACGGUCGGUUCGUCGCUCGCGGCGUUUAACUGACCGUUUCCGGACGUCCUGCCGGUGGUUGGCGCGCUCCGCAAGGGGUUCUACGCCAACCGUCACCUUCCCUCCGUGCUGCUCUUAACCGGGUGGCACGGUGGGCCGGCACGUUUACUUUGAACAAAUUUGAGUGCUCAAAGCAGGCCUACAGACGCCUGAAAACUGUGUGCAUGGAAUAAUGGAAUAGGACCUCUUUUCUAUUUUGUUGGCUUUUCUGAAACAGAGGUAAUGAUUAAUAGGGACAGACGGGGGCAUUCGUAUUGCGACGUUAGAGGUGAAAUUCUUGGAUCGUCGCAAGACGGACGGAUGCGAAAGCGUUUGCCAAGAAUGUUUUCGCUAAUCAAGAACGAAAGUUAGAGGUUCGAAGGCGAUCAGAUACCGCCCUAGUUCUAACCAUAAACGAUGCCAGCCAGCGAUGCGCCGAAGUUCCUCCGAUGACUCGGCGCGCAGCU